rnacentral:rRNA from 1 species
UACGUAGGGUGCGAGCGUUGUCCGGAAUUACUGGGCGUAAAGGGCCAGUAGGCGGCCAACUAAGUCGGAUGUGAAAUCCCCAGGCUCAACUUGGGAACUGCAUCCGAUACUGGAUGGCUUGAAUUCGGGAGAGGGAUGCAGAAUUCCAGGUGUAGCGGUGAAAUGCGUAGAUAUCUGGAGGAAUACCGGUGGCGAAGGCGGCAUCCUGGACC